CCUACGGGCGGCAGCAGUGGGGAAUAUUGGGCAAUGGGCGCAAGCCUGACCCAGCAACGCCGCGUGAAGGAAGAAGGCGUUCGGGGUGUAAACUUCUUUUGACAGGGAAGAGGAGAAGACGGUACCUGGCGAAUAAGCCACGGCUAACUACGGGCCAGCAGCCGCGGUAAUACGUAGGUGGCAAGCGGUGUCCGGAUUUACUGGGUGUAAAGGGCGUGUAGCCGGGUUGACAAGUCAGAUGGGAAAUCCUGCGGCUUAACCGCAGAACUGCAUUGGAAACGGUUGAUCUUGAGUACUGGAGAGGCAGUCGGCAUUCCUCGUGUCGCGGUUAACUGCGUCGCUCUUAGGCGGCACCCCAGUGGCGACGGCGGUCUGCUGGACAGCAACUGACGGUGAGGCGCGCACGCGUGGGGAGCAAACCGGCUUAGCUACCCGUGUCGUC
rnacentral:rRNA from 1 species